UAGUAACGGCGAGUGAAGAGGGAUGAGCUCAAAUUUUGAAUCUGGCACUUUCAGUGUCCGAGUUGUAAUCUAUAGAAGUGUUUUCCGCGACAGACCUUGCACAAGUCUCCUGGAACGGAGCAUCAUAGAGGGUGAGAAUCCCGUAUAUGGCAAGGACUGCUGUUGCUCUGUGAUACACUCUCAACGAGUCGAGUUGUUUGGGAAUGCAGCUCAAAGUGGGUGGUAAAUUCCAUCUAAAGCUAAAUAUUGGCGAGAGACCGAUAGCGAACAAGUACCGUGAGGGAAAGAUGAAAAGCACUUUGGAAAGAGAGUGAAACAGUACGUGAAAUUGUUGAAAGGGAA
rnacentral:rRNA from 1 species